rnacentral:rRNA from 1 species
UACGUAGGGUGCAAGCGUUAAUCGGAAUUACUGGGCGUAAAGGGUGCGCAGGCGGUUUUUUAAGUCAGCUGUGAAAUACCUGGGCUUAACCUAGGGACUGCAGUUGAGACUGGAAGGCUAGAGUGUGUCAGAGGGGGGUAGAAUUCCACGUGUAGCAGUGAAAUGCGUAGAGAUGUGGAGGAAUACCGAUGGCGAAGGCAGCCCCCUGGGAUAACACUGACGCUCAAGCACGAAAGCGUGGGGAGCAAACAGG